rnacentral:rRNA from 1 species
UACAGAGGUCUCAAGCGUUAUUCGGAUUCAUUGGGCGUAAAGGGCGCGUAGGCGGUGGGGUAAGUCUGGUGUGAAAUCUCGGAGCUCAACUUCGAAAUUGCACUGGAUACUGCUCUGCUAGAGGGCUGGAGAGGAGAUCGGAAUUCACGGUGUAGCAGUGAAAUGCGUAGAUAUCGUGAGGAAGACCAGUGGCGAAGGCGGAUCUCUGGACAGCUCCUGACGCUGAGGCGCGAAGGCUAGGGGAGCAAACGGG